GACGAACGCUGGCGGCGUGCUUAACACAUGCAAGUCGAACGAGCCCGCCCCUGUUUUUGGGGGUGGGUUGAGUGGCGAACGGGUGAGUAUCACGUGAGUAACCUGCCCCCUGCUCCUGGAUAACUGCUUGAAAGGGCGGCUAAUACGGGGUGUGCCGGCUGGUCCGCAUGGGCCUGGUCGGGAUAGUUUCAUCUUCGGGUGUUUCGGUGGGGGAUGGGCUCGCGGCCUAUCAGCUUGUUGGUGGGGUGAUGGCCCACCAAGGCGGUGACGGGUAGCCGGCCUGAGAGGGUGGGCGGCCACACUGGGACUGAGACACGGCCCAGACUCCUGCGGGAGGCAGCAGUGGGGGGUAUUGCACAAUGGGCGGAAGCCUGAUGCAGCGACGUCGCGUGAGGGAUGGAGGCCUUCGGGUUGUGAACCUCUUUCUCCGGGGGUGAAGGCCCUGUCCGUUGCGGCGGGGUUGACGGUAGCCGGGGAUGAAGCGCCGGCUAACUACGUG
rnacentral:rRNA from 1 species